AUCUACAAUCAUACCACCCUGAACGUGCCAGAUCACGUCUGAUCUCGGAAGCUAAGUAGGGUAGGACCUGGUUAGUCCUUGGAUGGGAGACCACCUGGGUAUACCACAUGCUGUAGGCU
ensembl:rRNA 5S_rRNA 5S ribosomal RNA